rnacentral:rRNA from 1 species
UACGUAGGGUGCGAGCGUUGUCCGGAAUUAUUGGGCGUGAAGAGCUUGUAGGCGGUUUGUCGCGUCUGCCGUGAAAAUCCGGGGCUCAACCCCGGACUUGCGGUGGGUACGGGCAGACUAGAGUGUGGUAGGGGAGACUGGAAUUCCUGGUGUAGCGGUGAAAUGCGCAGAUAUCAGGAGGAACACCGAUGGCGAAGGCAGGUCUCUGGGCCACUACUGACGCUGAGAAGCGAAAGCGUGGGGAGCGAACAGG